UGGUCAAGGGGAUAAGCUUCGGGCUCAUAACCUGAAGGUCGCAGGUUCAAAUCCUGC
rnacentral:tRNA from 1 species